UUUAGAAUACUAUAGGACACACAUGCAGUCGAGCGAACAGAACGCAGAGCUUGCUCCCGGAUGUUAGCGGCGGACGGGUGAGUAACACGUGGGUAACCUGCCUGUAAGACUGGGAUAACUCCGGGAAACCGGAGCUAAUACCGGAUAGUUCCUUGAACCGCAUGGUUCAAGGAUGAAAGACGGUUUCGGCUGUCACUUACAGAUGGACCCGCGGCGCAUUAGCUAGUUGGUGGGGUAAUGGCUCACCAAGGCGACGAUGCGUAGCCGACCUGAGAGGGUGAUCGGCCACACUGGGACUGAGACACGGCCCAGACUCCUACGGGAGGCAGCAGUAGGGAAUCUUCCGCAAUGGACGAAAGUCUGACGGAGCAACGCCGCGUGAGUGAUGAAGGUUUUCGGAUCGUAAAGCUCUGUUGUUAGGGAAGAACAAGUGCGAGAGUAACUGCUCGCACCUUGACGGUACCUAACCAGAAAGCCACGGCUAACUACGUGCCAGCAGCCGCGGUAAUACGUAGGUGGCAAGCGUUGUCCGGAAUUAUUGGGCGUAAAGGGCUCGCAGGCGGUUUCUUAAGUCUGAUGUGAAAGCCCCCGGCUCAACCGGGGAGGGUCAUUGGAAACUGGGAAACUUGAGUGCAGAAGAGGAGAGUGGAAUUCCACGUGUAGCGGUGAAAUGCGUAGAGAUGUGGAGGAACACCAGUGGCGAAGGCGACUCUCUGGUCUGUAACUGACGCUGAGGAGCGAAAGCGUGGGGAGCGAACAGGAUUAGAUACCCUGGUAGUCCACGCCGUAAACGAUGAGUGCUAAGUGUUAGGGGGUUUCCGCCCCUUAGUGCUGCAGCUAACGCAUUAAGCACUCCGCCUGGGGAGUACGGUCGCAAGACUGAAACUCAAAGGAAUUGACGGGGGCCCGCACAAGCGGUGGAGCAUGUGGUUUAAUUCGAAGCAACGCGAAGAACCUUACCAGGUCUUGACAUCCUCUGACAACCCUAGAGAUAGGGCUUUCCCUUCGGGGACAGAGUGACAGGUGGUGCAUG
rnacentral:rRNA from 1 species